rnacentral:rRNA from 1 species
AUGGACGGCGGCACCGCCACCGUCUGCUCCAUGUGCGGGGACAUCGGCUUCCCCGACAAGCUCUUCCGGUGCGCGCGCUGCCGCUACCGCUUCCAGCACUCCUAUUGCACGAACUACUACGGCGACGGGGCACCGGCCUCGGCGGGGGCCGACAUGUGCGACUGGUGCCUCAGCGACGUCUCUGGGAAGGCCAGGAGGAGCGCGUCUACAUCUGGGAAGCAGCAGGCCUCCGUCAACCAGGAUUCGACCACGACGGGCUACUCCGGCAGGAUCGACAAGGCGGCAACCGGCGGCGACCAGGAGAGCGGGCGGCGAGGGUCGACCAAGGUGGGAGGCCGCAGGUACAAGCUGCUCAAGGACGUCCUUUGUUAG